UACGUAGGGUGCGAGCGUUAAUCGGAAUUACUGGGCGUAAAGCGUGCGCAGGCGGUUCGCCAAGUCAGGUGUGAAAUCCCCGGGCUUAACCUGGGAAUUGCGCUUGAAACUAGCGGGCUUGAGUGUGGCAGAGGGGGGUGGAAUUCCCGGUGUAGUGGUGAAAUGCGUAGAUAUCGGGAGGAACACCAGUGGCGAAGGCGACUUCCUGGCCUGUUCUUGACGCUGAGGCGCGAAAGCUAGGGGAGCAAACGGG
rnacentral:rRNA from 1 species